rnacentral:lncRNA from 1 species
AGGUCACCUGUACCCAAAGGAAGUCCAACAGUUGUCCCCAAAGUUAGAGAUACCAAAAGCAAAACCUUGAAAGUUUGUUUUGUCUUGCAAAAUUAGAGCCCUCCUACCUAACUCCUACUUUUCAUGAAUGGUGGCAAGAUGAAGAAUUCCUGAAGUCAUUUUGUGUAACCCAUUAAAGUGAUAUGGAUACUACAGCACUAACAUAUGUGUCCAAAUCUUAAGUGGAGACCGGAAUAAGAAUUCUAUGUAGGGUCUGAGAAUUCUGGAUCCUUUCUUUUGCUACUAUGGCUGUUUUUCUUUAUUGGCAAAAUAUUGGGUGGUGGUUCUAUUUUGGUUACUUAUUUGGUAAUCUUGCUUGAGUGAUUCCUUGGAGACUGAAAUUAGAAGCAGAAGAGUCACAGGGAUCCUGGCAGGUUUGUCGGAGAACCUUGCAUAAAGAAAUUAUCUUUACCACGUUGGUGGCAUACCCCAACUUGGGGUGAGAGGUUGAAAGAAAGACCACUGGAGUCAUUUCCAGCACCGUACAACAAAGAGAAUCAUUCUGGUUAAUUUUAAAAAUUACAGGCUAUAAAUACUGUCAGCUUGUCCAUUUCUAUUUUAAUCUUCACAAAACUUGAGUAGAAUUUAAGAGAGCAGGUUGACCCACAUGGAGUAAAAUGGCUUUUUAAGAAAUACAAUAUCCAGUCGGACCUAUGUAAGUGUUAUUAGAGGGAUUUUUUUCUUUCUUCCCAAUUUCAUAGCAAGCUUGCUAAAAAGGAUGACUGGUUAUCUACUCAUUUUGUAGAUAAGCUAUUUCUUUUUGUGAUUAUUUUUUUGGGGGGGGUUGUUUUUGCAAAGGAACUUACUUAGGAAAAAAAAUCUCUGUCACUGAAGACAUCCAGCCUCAGCCGGUGGCAAAAGUGUGUCUAUGCUCCUUCUCAUCUUGUAAAGGGAAAAGGCGGCAGGAAUGUGCAGGGGCUCAUUUGUUUCCACAAACCUAAGAGAAAAUAUUUCCUGACCUAUAAAUAUAAUAGGAAGCUUC